UGCUUUGUUUUAUUUUAACAUUAGAUUACAAAUGGCUCAUUAUAACAGUUAUUAUAUUAUUGAGAUUAUUUUAUAGGUGGAUACUUAUGAGAAAAUUAUUAAAAAUAUAUGGUAUUAAAAUAUUUAUUUAUUUAGCAUUUAUUUGUUAUCAAAUCAAAAUGUUUUAUCAUUAUGGGUGAUUCAUAGUAAUGUUUGGAGAACGCUUCGAUGUGCGGCAGAUCUUCACGGUUUCUGACCUAUCAGUUAGUCAGUAGUGUAUUGGACUACUGAAGCGUUGACAGGUAACAGAGAAUUAGGGUUCUGUUCCGGAGAGGGAGCCUGAGAAACAGCUACUAUAUCUAAGGAACGCAGCAGGCGCGUAAAUUACCCAAUUCUGAUAAAGAGAGGUAGUGAUAAGAAAUCACAAUAUUUUGCCUUAGGGUUAAGUAAUUGAAUUGAGAACACAGUAGCCAUAUUAUCGAUAAACUAUUGGAGGGCAAGUCUGGUGCCAGCAGCUGCGGUAAUUCCAGCUCCAAUGGUGUAUGCUAACAUUGUUGCAGUUAAAAAGCUCGUAGUCGAAUUUGUAAGAAAAUCAAUUUUAUGUGAUCCUAAUGAACAAAAAAAAAGAUGAUUUACCUUAUUUUAUGCUUAUGCACCGUUGAAAUUCAUUUUUUGACGGUGGACUGAUUUUGUGUUUACUUUGAGAAAAUUAGAGUGUUCAAAGCAGCCUUUGUGGACUUAUAUUAAAGCAUGGAAUGAUAAAUAAUGACAUUGGUUAAUUUUUUGUUGGGAUGAGGAGCUGAUGUAAUGAUUUAUAGAGUUAGUCGGAGGUAUUAGUAUUUUAUCGUUAGAAGUGAAAUUCUUGGAUCGUUUAAAGACUAACAAUUGCAAAAGUAUUUACCUAGAAUUUUCUCUUUGAUCAAGAACGUAAGUUGAGGGAUCGAAGACGAUCAGAUACCGUCGUAGUCUUAACUGUAAACUAUACCAGCUAGGGGUUGGCAAAUGUUUAUAUGACAUUGUUAGAACCUUUGGAGAAAUCACAGCGUUUGGGUUCCGGGGGGAGUAUGGUUGCAAGGCUGAAACUUAAAGGAAUUGACGGAAGGCCACCCCAAGAUGUGGAUUCUGUGGCUUAAUUUGACUCACCACUGGAAAACUUACCAGGUCCAGACAUAGGUAGGAUUGACAGAUUGAUAGUUUUUUCUUGAUUUUAUGGGUGGUGGUGCAUGGCCGUUCUUAGUUGGUGGAGUGAUUUGUCUGGUUAAUUCCGUUAACGAACGAGACUUCCACA
rnacentral:rRNA from 1 species